rnacentral:rRNA from 1 species
GACCUCUAAUCGGGUGGGACUACCCGCUGAACUUAAGCAUAUCAAUAAGCGGAGGAAAAGAAACUAACAAGGAUUCCCCUAGUAACGGCGAGUGAAGAGGGAAAAGCUCAAAUUUUGAAUCUGGUGUCUUUGACUCCCGAGUUGUAAUCUAGAGAAGUGUUUUCCGUGUCGGACCGUGCACAAGUUCCCUGGAACGGGGCGUCAUAGAGGGUGAGAAUCCCGUAUAUGGCACGGACCGCCGAUGAUCUGUGAUACACUCUCAACGAGUCGAGUUGUUUGGGAAUGCAGCUCAAAAUGGGUGGUAAAUUCCAUCUAAAGCUAAAUAUUGGCGAGAGACCGAUAGCGAACAAGUACCGUGAGGGAAAGAUGAAAAGCACUUUGGAAAGAGAGUGAAACAGUACGUGAAAUUGUUGAAAGGGAAGCGUUUGAAGUCAG